AUCCGUCGGCGAGCGAACCGGA
rnacentral:sRNA from 1 species